CCAGACUCCUACGGGAGGCAGCAGUGGGGAAUAUUGCACAAUGGGGGAAACCCUGAUGCAGCGACGCCGCGUGAGUGAAGAAGUAUUUCGGUACGUAAAGCUCUAUCAGCAGGGAAGAAAAACCGGCCUUAGGGCCGCCAGACGGUACCUGACUAAGAAGCCCCGGCUAAUUACGUGCCAGCAGCCGCGGUAAUACGUAGGGGGCAAGCGUUAUCCGGAUUUACUGGGUGUAAAGGGAGCGUAGACGGCAGCGCAAGUCUGGAGUGAAAUGCCGGGGCCCAACCCCGGAACUGCUUUGGAAACUGUGCAGCUCGAGUGCAGGAGAGGUAAGCGGAAUUCCUAGUGUAGCGGUGAAAUGCGUAGAUAUUCGGAGGAACACCGGUGGCGAAGGCGGCCAACUGGGCUUUAACUGACGCUGAGGCUCGAAAGUGUGGGGAGCAAACAGGAUUAGAUACCCUGGUAG
rnacentral:rRNA from 1 species